AUUGAACGCUGGCGGCAUGCCUUACACAUGCAAGUCGAACGGCAGCACGGGGCAACCCUGGUGGCGAGUGGCGAACGGGUGAGUAAUACAUCGGAACGUGCCCGGUAGUGGGGGAUAGCUCGGCGAAAGCCGGAUUAAUACCGCAUACGACCUACGGGUGAAAGCGGGGACCGCAGGCCUCGCGCUAUUGGAGCGGCCGAUGUCAGAUUAGGUUGUUGGUGGGGUAAAGGCCCACCAAGCCGACGAUCUGUAGCUGGUCUGAGAGGACGACCAGCCACACUGGGACUGAGACACGGCCCAGACUCCUACGGGAGGCAGCAGUGGGGAAUUUUGGACAAUGGCGCAAGCCUGAUCCAGCCAUGCCGCGUGCGGGAAGAAGGCC
rnacentral:rRNA from 1 species